AUUAAUUUGGGCCGAUUUUUUUUUUUUUUUUUUUUUUUUGCACUAUCGCUUGGAAAAAUCGGCGGGAAAUUCGAAAAGCUCGCGUUAGUUGAUUAAUUAAUUAAUCUAGUUGAGACUGAGACUAUUUAAAAAUUUAGGUGUUUUCUGAUGUUUGCUGAUAGUCUCAGAUCUAGCGUUAAUUCUACGCUACAGCGGACAAAACAAUCCAAUCUAUCACAUAGUCGCAAAGAACGAAUCCUUUUUCAACUACUCAGCCCAGUACGCGCGUAGAAAACCAACCUCUCUUGCGCGCAUGUAAAACCCGUAAAAUUAGCAUAAGAAUAGCAAACACCGAUCUAACGUCCAAAGCGCGCAACAGUAUAUACCUACUGUACAGUGUCUAACGGGGCUUUUCACCGAAAAACCGCGCUAACGGACCGUCAAGCCUCUCGAUCACAAGCAUAACCCGUUCGGCCCCAUAUGGUGGCUCCACCUGACGGCGUUUACCGUCAAUCACACCUCUCCGUACUCGCGCACAAAACAACACUCAGUACGAUACACAUUAUAGACUGGCAGAUGUACAUUGUACCACCUACGGCAAUACAUAUAGCUAUACAUAGCUGUACAGACACACGCAGUACGAUCCCGAGAACGAGGAGCGAGCGAAUGAGAGACACGGCGAGGAAAAAGGAUAGAGACGAAGAAAACGACGAAAGGGAGCAAUAAUACGCAAUGGAAGCCGGAGACUUUUCGUCCGAGGCGUGAAUCCAAGUGUGACGCACCGCACGAAAUGGCUUGACAGGAAAGCCGAGAGAUGUUGCCUGAAACAGAGGCAAACAUUGAAAACAUGACCGAAGGAGGUGAAAACCAACCUAGUGGCGAGGGAGGAACGCAAAGUGGUGGUGGUGGUGAAACAGCUGAGUCACGAGUAGUUCAAGGUGAAGGUCUUUAUGAGGGAACGUUGGAAACGACGAGCUUCUCAGGACCAUGUCAAGACACAAUACUGACUCAUGGGUUGGGACAAGGGGAAGGCAGCGACGCAACAAGUGUUCACACUGCUAGCACCUCCAUAUCAGGCAAUGAGUCCAACUCUAGCAGAGUGAGUAUCGUAACCGUUGUGUUGCCUUGGGGUGCCCAAAAGGAAACUAUGAAGUCCCAACAAACUGGGGACAUGGAUCUGCGACCAGGAGAAUUCGUGAUGCAAUCGCUUUUUGCUGAUUUUACAGCACAAGCUGAAAAGAAAAUGGAGGCUGUGAUGACUGAAACAGAAAAGCCACUUUCCAAAGUUCUCCAGAGAGGCGAAGAUCUACAAUUUGAUCAGCUGUUAUCAGCUUUUGGUUCGGUCGCAGAACAUUGUCUCCCCUCAAUACUACGGGCACUUUUCAACUGGUAUGAAAGACAACUUGUGGACCAUGGAACGGACCAAAAGAAACUUGCAGCUGCAAAAGAAGAUCAAAAAGGCAAAAGUAUUAUGUAUACAAUAGUAUCAGGUAGCGUAGAAACAGUUGAAAAAAGUGAAGCUGAUUUACUCCAAGAAAGAAGAGAUCUGGCUGUGGAAUUUAUAUUUUGUUUAAUGCUGAUUGAAAUUUUAAGACAAUUACCAUUCCAUCCUGGUCACGAAGAUUUAGUUUCGUACAUUGAAAAUAUUGCCUUUAAACAUUUUAAAUAUAGAGAAGGAAUUCAAAAUGAACCAAAUGCGGGUAAUAUCCAUAUCAUAGCAGAUUUAUAUGCGGAAGUGAUAGGCGUCUUAGCCCAAUCUCGCUUUAUGUCUGUACGCAAACGUUUUGUCGUUGAGUUGAAAGAAUUACGAGCUAAAGAGCCUGGACCUCAUACAACUCAGAGCAUAAUUUCACUACUUAUGGGUAUGAAAUUUUUCAGGGUCAAGAUGGUACCAAUAGAAGAAUUUGAAGCCUCCUUUCAAUUCAUGCAAGAGUGUGCUCAAUAUUUUUUAGAAGUGAAGGAUAAAGACGUGAAACACGCACUAGCCGGCUUAUUCGUCGAAAUUCUUGUUCCUGUUGCAGCUGCUGUGAAAAAUGAAGUUAACGUUCCUUGCUUAAAAAAUUUCGUUGAAAUGCUAUAUUCUACGACUUUGGACAUGUGUACAAAAAACAAACAUCGUCUUGCACUUUUUCCUCUGGUUACAUGUCUUUUGUGCGUCAGCCAGAAGACCUUCUUUUUACAAAAUUGGCAUUACUUUUUGGCGAUGUGUCUCUCUCAUUUGAAAAAUCGUGAUCCUAAAAUGUGUCGCGUCGCUUUAGAGGCUCUCUAUCGUUUACUCUGGGUGUACAUGAUCCGCAUAAAGUGUGAGAGCAAUUCAGCGACGCAAAGUCGACUGCAGAGUAUCGUCAACUCGCUUUUCCCCAAAGGUUCCAAAGCGGUCGUUCCUCGCGAUACUCCGCUCAACAUCUUCGUCAAGAUAAUCCAGUUUAUUGCGCAGGAACGUCUCGAUUUCGCAAUGCGUGAGAUAGUUUUUGAUCUACUGUCAGUCGGCCGUCCCGUAAAAAUUAUUCUUACGCCCGAACGCAUGAGCAUCGGCCUUCGAGCCUUUCUAGUUGUAGCUGAUAGUCUGCAGCAGAAAGAAGGAGAACCACCCAUGCCGCGUACUAUGGGUGUUUUGCCUAGUGGUAACACCAUGCGCGUCAAGAAGACUUACUUGAAUAAGAUGCUGACGGAAGAUACGGCCAAGAGCAUUGGAAUGUCCUCCUACUUUCCACAUGUACGACGUGUCUUUGUGGAUAUUCUUCGUGCCCUGGAUGUUCACUACGGUCGGCCCCUUAUGAUGACGAGCACUCAGAAUGUGAAUAAGGAGCCUGACGAGAUGAUUACGGGCGAACGCAAGCCCCGGAUAGAUUUGUUUCGAACGUGUGUUGCAGCGGUGCCGCGUCUCAUACCCGAUGGAAUGACCGGUGCUGAGCUCGUUGACAUGCUAGCUAGAUUGACUGUGCAUAUGGACGAGGAGUUGAGAGGAUUGGCCUAUCAAAGUCUCCAGACGCUUGUAAUUGAUUUUCCAGACUGGCGACAAGAUGUCGUGCUCGGUUUUACACAGUUUCUUGCUCGAGACGUGCAGGACACGUUUCCCCAGUUACUGGACAACGGGCUACGCAUGCUGUUGCAACUGUUGACCUGCUGGAGGAACGCACUCGCCAAUCCAAGUGCUAAGGCUAAGGAACAGCCAGCUGACGGUGUGCGACUCAACUCGCGUAUGAUCGUCGACGGCGUCACGAAAAAAGAUACAACUGGACAAAAAGUUGAACCUGUCUCGAGCGUCUUCCACCUGGUUGAGGGCUUUGCCCUUGUCAUGCUUUGUAACUGCCGUCUUUACCCACGACGCCUUGCAGUCCAUAUAUUAAGGGAGAUCAAACUCCUAUUGAAGACCUUUGCUAGUCUAGAAGAUGAUCAGCCUGUGAUUGAUGUGAUUGAUGCCUGCUGUCCAGCAGUUUUAGAAAAGUAUUAUUACAUGCUCCCACCCGCGGAGAAGGCAGCCGCUGCUUCAACAUCUAAUGUUGAUUUACAGUGGAUAGCAGAUAGAAGUAGUUGUGUUUGGACAGCUGGAUUCCAUGAUGAAAACAGCACAAAAAGUUCCUCAUUAUUGAAUUUAAAUGGAGCGGAUCCUUGGAGCAGUUGUUUGUUUGCAUUUUUAGAGAAGGAUAGAGUUCUGACGUUAUGCCCGAACGCCGUUGCUCACUCGUGGCCUAUUGUUUUUAAUCGUAUCAACUCUUUGUUUACUGUAGUUGACCCAACGCCAGUAAAUGAUAAUAGAGCGUCCCUUUUAAGAAGUUCUACGGCCAUUCGUAAGCCAGUUAAUGAGAGAGAUGUUUACAUACAUGUCUGGAAAAACUAUUUAACUUUUGGAUACCGCGUUGUGCCACCUAUACCAAGUCCGAUAAUUCGCUGCGCGAGCCCAGAUUUGAGUCUAAGUGGUCAGCAUACGGUGGAGUUUGGUGUGUUGUGCAUGAGUAAGGAGUUGAGUCAGAGCCUGGAGAACCUCGGCGGGGCCCAGACCCUGCCGGGCCGCUUCUCCGUACCGUCGAUAUCCGGCAUCUACACCAGGCACAAGCGGACAAGCUCGUCCCCGGACAGCCUGUCAGCGGAACGUGGCGACAACAAAUCGCCGGGGACUAACGCAAGUCCCUCGGCGUUGUAUAAGCUGACUGUACCGCUUCUCAGGUGCGAGACCAUCGACGUCCGCGAUGCCGCUGUUCACGCGAUCGGCAAAGUCAAUGCUGACGCUCUCAAAGACCUGAUGGAGGAGCUCGUGCCUUAUAUCCGCGAGGCGGUGGACCGCAAACAGGAGAACAUGAGACGCCGCAGAAGACGAGAUGCCCUGAGGCUUCAGCUUGUGAGAGUACUCGAGCUCAUCGCCGAGUACGGGACCUUUGGGAUCUGCCCGGCAGUACUGGACCGAGAGACGCAAUCGCUGCAUCCGACGUUUGUCGAAUACAUCGAUGGAGCUAGAGUGUAUCUGGAAAACGAAACCGACAAGGAAGCCCCGGCCGUCAGGGACAUCAAGUUACACUUCUGCAAUUUCAUUCGCAAGAUGCUCAAGAGCUUUUCACUGGAGGCCUGCCACACUUUGCUGAAACGCGAUUUGCGGCGCAAUCUCUUUGGUUUAUUCGCCAGUUGGGCCGGACCGUAUGGCAAACCACUUAUGUCCGCUGCUGCUAUGCCCCAAGAGGAGGACAAGUGCUCAGAGCUCCAGCUAUCUGCCCUCCAGGCCAUGAGCGGAUUACUCUGUUGUGGACCAUGUUUCAAUACCCAAAGCCUCAGCGAGGAAGGCUCGAUACUCUAUCAGUGGCUAGAUUUACUUCUGGCUAGCAGAGAAGAGAAGAUCUACGGACUUGCUCGAGAGACCGUCGUGCUGCUGCUCGAAGGCAACCCAGAUAUUGGUCCGUUGCUUGACUGGGUUGUAGACCGAUGUUACACCGGACUGCCACAGGUCGCAGACGGCUGUUUCCUCGCUCUCGCCACUAUCUUCAGUGCCCGCGAGUAUCCGUGCGAUCAUUACACGAGCAUCAUCAACGUGACGCUGAUGAAUACAGGCUGUCCUAGAGCACCGGUGCAAGACGCCGCCCUCCAGCUGUUACAGCUGCUUGAUCAGCGCUUCUUCGGCAACGUGCGACCGCUACCAGCUCCUGACUCUGACACUGGUCAAGAAGAUCCAGCAUCGACAACGGCCGGCGGUACAUCGACGACAACAACAAUCAUCACCACAACCAGUAACACGAGUACAACGAGUUCGUCGGCAGUGGCGGUAGCUAUCUCCCAAUCGAACAUAUCUUCAACCGGUCAACAGCAGCAGCGAGUAGAGCGCGAAAAGGAUAGAGAGCGCGCAGGGACUCUCGACGCCCUUCUAAGCGCGAGCUACUGCCGAAACCAGAAGUACUUGUCAAGACAACUUGCCCAGUUGCAUCCCGAGCUCACUAUGCCUAUGUUCAGCGAGAUAACCCAUAGGUUUCAGACAGCUCGUCGGGAGGUCCGACAGCUGCUGCUCCAGUACCUGCUGCCCUGGCUGCACAACAUGGAGCUCGUCGAUCCGAACGUACCACCACCCUCGAAUCCUCUCAGUUACUAUCAGUGCUACGGUAACGAUGUGACAGCGCGCAGUGGAGCCGGCACAGGUCGACGCGAGGGUUGGGGCAGCGCCGAAGCCACCGAGAUGGUCCUCAACAACCUUUUCUACAUAACGGCCAAGUUUUCGGAUGAGCACCCGAAGGAGACGGAGGAACUUUGGGCAACGCUCUGCGGCUGCUGGCCGAACAAUCUGAAAGUGAUCAUUCGCUACCUCAUCAUUGUGUCGGGUAUGGCUCCGCAGGAACUUCUGCCUUACGCAAAACGAGUAGUGCUGUACCUGGCGCGCGCUCGGCCGGACCGUCUAGUGGACGAGAUGAUGACGGAAUUGCAGACUGUUGAGACCCUCAACUGUUUGAUCGAGCGCACGGAGACGCCUCCAUUCUACAGACUGACUAGCAUGCGCAAGGCUUCGUCUCACAGCGACGCCCCUGCAGCCGAUCCGGGUAAUCCCAGCAAGGACCUCGGAGUCGAGAAAGGCACGAUACACACCAAGAGACACUCCGGAGAGGAUCCCAUCAAGACUGGCUGCUCCAAAUCGGACUCCGCUCUUCGCGCCCUGGCCGGUUUCCCGUGUGGUCGGUCAGACAAGUCUCGGGCGACUUCCGGUGGUCCUCUGCUCGCUGACGAUUUAUCGACUCCUCUGACCGAGGCAGAGUACUUUGACUUUCAGCUGAUGUCCGAGGACGCCUACUACAUACGCAACGUGCCUGUGGUGUUUAACGGUAGACCAACUGCGCCGAGCGGCGGUGAGAAGCUCGAUGUGCCUCAGCCGCAUCCUCUGCCUAUGCCUGAAUACGGUGGCUACUUCGCACCACUAACAGAGUACUUACCGGACAGUUCGCAACCCAUCAGCGGCUUUCAUCGGUGUAACAUUGCGGUGAUGCUGUUGACCGAUGUAGUAGUCGAUGGUAUUCAGCUCGACUGGGCCAUCCACGUACCGCUGAUGCUACACAUCGUCUUUCUGGGUUUGGAUCACUCGAGGCCUCUAGUGCGCGACCACUGCCGCUUGUUGCUGCUCAACAUGCUCGUCGUGCUGGGUGAUCACAGAGAUCACCUAGGCGUCGCCCGAGUUCUUUUGGCUACUAAGACGGAUCUGCUGGGUCUGGGGUUGUCGACACCGCCGUUGCCCGUGGUAGAACACAACUUUACGGAGGUCGAUCCUGAGUUCGAUAGCUAUCUGUAUGGGCCACCGCCGGCUGCGUUCGCACAGCUUAACGUUGGUAUUGUGGUACCGGCGGGCCAAGCAUCGCCACAGAGUCAUUCGCCGCCUCCUCUCCAACCAAACACACCACCGUCAUCGCCACCUCCACCGCCACCACUACCUAUACCACCACCACCGCCUCUUCCACCUGCCGGUGAGCAACAGCAGCAGCAACAACAGAGCUCGUCGUCGCCAACCCUUUCGUCAUCGCAGUCAUCCUCGUCUAACAAUGCCAGCCCUGUGCACUCGCCCGUCAACGCGACAGGUACAACUCCACCCGCGACUAUCAGGCAUGUUGCACCCAGCCUUGGAGACGAGAGCAGAAAUACCGCAGCUGUCUAUUCGUAUGAUUCCUCGUGUCAAGCUAACUGGACUGCAGGUACAAGAACAACAACGAAUGUCGUGCCACCAGUCAUCGUCACUCCUGAAGAUGGAGUGAACUGGCCCGGCCCUCAGCCUGGACCCAACAUGCCUAUUCAGGAUGUAAUCAAAUCUUUGAUUAAUUUCCUUGCAUCGAGAACAAACCAGCCUCUCUGGAACUAUGAGGACAUGACAGCAAAAGUCUGGUGGGUGCGUAGCGCCGAGCAGCUGACAAUUCUACUACGGCACGUGUUGCGCGUCUUUCGCGAGUCGCUACCCCACGCUUUGGUCAGCCAGCGCUGGGCUCAGACAGCUCUGCAGCUUGGAUUAUCCUGUUCCUCACGACACUACGCUGGCAGAUCACUACAGGUCUUCAGAGCGCUUAGGAUACCUAUUACCUCACGCAUGUUGUCCGACAUAUUAUCGAGGCUCGUGGAGACUGUUGCCGAACAAGGGGAAGAUAUGCAGGGUUACGUAACGGAGCUGCUACUGACGUUGGAGGCUGCGGUCGACACGCUUGAAUCGGACUUUAGGCCGCUAGACUUUAUGAAGGAGAUCUUCAAAUCGACGCCAAACCUUAACAACAAGGAGGCUGCCUCGUGCCUAGCUAAGAGGUGCUCUGCAGGGGCAACGGGAUACUAUCCCCAGGGUCCGCAGAUGUUCUCCCAUCUCAAUCAGCAGGGACACAUGCGGAGUACGAGUUAUUCCGUUAGCUAUUCCAUGAGGAAAUCGGCAGCUGCGGCUAAUGCUGCGGUUAGCGAGGCGAAAGAAUUGGAAUGUCGUGCGGGCGGCGCCAAAUACAGCAACUCAAACCUUUCGCGUUCGCGCUCGGCUCAAUCGUUAAAGCUAUUAGGCGACUCGGCAACACAAGACGACAAGAUGACGAUCCUUGCGCAGCUUUUUUGGCUGUCCGUUUCACUGCUUGAAUCCGACUACGAGCACGAGUUUCUACUGGCGCUGAGAUUACUCGAUCGGGUUUUGCACAGACUACCGCUUGAUCGGCCCGAUGCCCGGGACAAGGUCGAAAAAUUGCAGCAACAGCUCAGGUGGAGCUCAUUCCCGGGUGUGCAUGCGCUUCUGCUAAAGGGUUGUACGAGUCCAAACACCUAUGAGUCGGUAGUAACACUUUUGUCACAGUUUACCUUGUUGUUGGACCUGCCAGUUGUCGAUCCGACGCAAAGCCUGGCCUUUCCGAUGAACGUUGUGUCCCUGCUGCCCUAUAUGCUGUUGAAUUAUGAAGAUGCCAACGAGCUUUGCAUUAGAAGCGCCGAAAAUAUUGCCCAGGUAAGCGCAGAAAAGGGCAAAAAAUUAGAAAACCUGGGUACAGUCAUGACGCUGUACAGCCGCCGCACCUUCAGCAAGGAGAGUUUUCAGUGGACCAAAUGUGUGGUCAAGUAUCUUUACGAUACGUACGCGCAUCUAAGCUUCAACAUGCUGGCCUUUUUAGUCGAGGUCCUAGAAAAAGGGCCAGCCAAUGUGGCGCUACCCGUACUCAGCAUUAUCCACUGCAUGUUGCAUUACAUCGAUAUUUCAUCUCAGGCGGCACAGCCUACCAACAUAGAUUUACUACGUGUCAUUUCAAAAUACGUUGAGGGUCCUCACUGGAAAGAGGCUUUAAAAAUAUUGAAACUAGUGGUCACUCGAUCUUCAACAUUAGUGGCACCACCAACUACAGUUCACGCCCCAUCAUGGGAACCAUCGAUAUCAUCACCUCAUCCUAGCUUUAACGACAACGAAAUAUUCACUAAAAAAGAAUUACCUGGUAGAACCAUGGAUUUCACGUAUGAUUUGUCGCAAACUCCUGUGAUAGGAAAACGUUGGCUUAUACGACAAGUUAAUGAAGAGAAAAAUACAAAUUCACCCCGAAGAUCUAUAUCGUUGUCGCCAGCGGAUAAUGGACCUGCAUCUGGUUGGAAAAGGCCGUGGAUGUCACAGGGUCGUGUAAGAGAAUGUUUGGUAAAUCUGCUGACAACUUGUGGCCAGCGAGUUGGAUUGCCAAAGAGUCCAUCUGUGAUAUUUAGUCAGAGUUCUGAUUUGAUGGAAAGACAAUCAUCCAUGGCCUCGUCAACCGAAGAAGUUUCUGGCGCUAACAAUGAUCUAAGCGGAGGAUCCCGCCGAGAUGAUGAACAAUUUGGCGUCUUUAAAGACUUUGACUUUUUAGAGUAUGAGAGCGAAAGCGUUGAGGGUGAAAGUACAGAUAACUUCAAUUGGGGUGUCAGACGUCGUCCUCUUAGUGAAGGAGAGGAACGGGAGCCAAGUUUACGAACGUUUGAAGAAAGUCUUAGUGAAAAAACGGUUUCAUCGAGUAAACAGUCUAUUCGACGUGGAGUUGCUGAGGAGUCAUCGGACGAUGAAAUCGGUUCUGAAUCUCCACUGGAUGAAGUCCCUGGUGGAUCUGGAACAGGUCAAGAGGCUAACAGCAUACCUGGUAUUUUUCCUCCAUCUUCUUUGUCAUUGAUACCAAGUCGAAGUCGACACGAUUCCUCAACCAGAUCUGAUACAUCUGGCUCGAGUGCUGGGGAUCUUGGUGACGUGACACCGUGUAACGCUUCACCGAAUCUGUCGGCUUUAAUGCCUUUUAGGCAGGUAGUCCGUGAUGAUGCCGAAGAAAUUUGGCGGCAACAGAUUCAGAAUUUGAUCGCACAGACUCCCUGCAACCCUUUGGAUGUCUUUCAACUUCUUAGUAAAAUUUUAAGAGACGUUUGUGGGAAAUCCGUGAAUCUUACCCGAGAGGCUGGUUCAUUGCUGAAUAACGGGAGCGCUGCCUCUGCACAACUGGCAUCGCACUUAUCUAGUCAUGCUGAAUUAUUAGGCUCAAAAGGCGAACCACCGAUCGUAUGGUUUGCUUCGUCGGUAUUCGCAAAUCAGAGGCUUCACGAAACACUAAGAUUUGGAUUACUUGAGAUGCAAGAACACCUUGAAACUUUCUUAGACAGAAAGGACCAUGCUUCCGAGUGUUUAGAGGCUGUAAAAACAGCUAACAAACUGCAAUCCCUUGGUGAAGCACACUCGCACACAGAGAGCGGUCUCGAAGAGAUGCUGCUGGAUCUCGGACGUGCUCUUUACAAGCUUCACUUCCAGCUGUUAUUGCUUAUCGAGGCCUCUAACAAAAUGCUAUGCGCUUUAACCAGUGCCGCCAAAAAUUCACAAGCCAGCCUCCAGGACAUGUCUGCAGAGAUUGCGAGUAUGCGACAGUCGCUGGCCCGUUCGAUCGAGAUUGAUAGCGGUGAGAGCGAAAGAGGCACACCAACUCCAAGUCCAAGUCCUCAACCAGAGGCUGGAAACAGUAGCAAUGGGAACGAGGCAUUAACGAGAGUGGCAGAAUUAUUAAAGGCUGCCAAAUGGACAGCUGCCCUGGAGAUAGUAAGAGUACACAGAGCCCAAUGGACCGGCGACCCCUUCCAUGACGAUGACGACGUAACUACCGCCGUCAAUAUGUUUUGCAGGCACCUAGGUCAAGACAGAGCCGAUAUUUUUGUAGUAACAAGGAGCGAAGAUGACAUGUCCGAAACUUUCGGCAGACUGAUGGAGAGUCUCUUUAGAGUUUUGGCUGCUGUGACUAGUUUGGAGCUUUAUACAAAGGCUUUAAGAGUUCAAAGCGAGCACACAAAUCACACAAAAGCAGACUGCUAAUGCGAUAUUCAAAGAUAGUAUUUAGUAACAUUUUUCGAUACCUAGACACUAGAAUUUUAUUAAUUAUUGUUGUACAUGUGCGCUGUGUGUACAGAUCGUGUAUACUAAAGAAACUUCAUGUCGGUGAAGACCGUCAUAAAAUACGUAGAAAAAGAAUUAAAAAAUUGCAUUUUUACAAAGGAAUUCGAUUGAUUUAUGCUUUAAAACUAGUUUAUAGAUCCUUAAUUAAUCAUUUCAAUGUUUAUUUUUCAUUUAUUUAGAAUGUACGAUGUAUAUUUGUGUGUGAGUUAAGUUAUUAUCUAUAAAUGUCCUAUCACAUUUUAAAUUUUCCUCGCAAAACGCAGUAAAGUCUGUAGGUUUAAACUACUCUAAUACAGAACAAACCCACGCUUUACAUCGCGAAGACUCAUGUCUGAUUGGUCAUCCUAUAUAUUCACAAUGAGCGCUAACGGUACUGUGUGCUCCCGCCUAAAUCGUAACUUCUUAUAUUGCUCACUACUAAGGUUAUAAAUUGUUGUGCAAAGUAUGCAGAAAAAUUGAAAAUCUCCUUGAAAAAGCACGCCAAAAUUAAACUGAGCUUUAAGUCGUCGAAUCAACAGUAUUAAUACCUACUAACAGCCAGAAAUCUUUUGUGCUCGUAGAUAAGAUAUAACACGUGGGAAAGAUAAUAUUGUAUGAAACCUAAUGAGAACAGGGACGAGAAGAUAAUCUAGAGUUUCAUUCUGUCACCAAAGCAACGAUAUAGUGGCAUACACUGUUUUUUUUUUAAAUUGAAUUUAAACGGUGUUAUCUAGUCUUGUAAUCUAACAAUGGAAUUAAACCACGAAAAAUCUUUAACUGCUGGAGCAUACGCUUUUGCGUAUCUUCUUUCUGGACUUUUGCUAAAAUAUGUGUUAUAUGAUAACGGAUUUACUAUUGCUAACCUAUUUUUAGUUGCAGGCGUAACCUACGUCCGUUUAUUCCUGUUAAAAGAAGAGAGUUUCCGGCUUCAAGAAAGUGCCGCACUUAUUUUGUUUGUUUUGUUUGAUAAAAAUCUUCUUGAUUUGGGCAAUGUUUUGCUCCUCCUUGGCGUUGCAUGCAUACGGGAGCAAUUUCAUCGGGCUACUCUUACGGAAAAGGAUAUAUUGUACAAGGAGACAAUAUCCUUUGCUUGUGGAUUAAUUUUUGCGCUAAUGGGCUGGUACAGCGUUGGCAGGAUCCUCAUAAUUUAUGCGCUCAUCAUGUUUUACUACUUUACAGUCCUAAUGGUUCUUUCCGUAUUUGUUAUUUUCACAUUGUUUGACAACUUUCUGGACUACUUAAAGAAUUACUACAAAAAAGAACCCGAAGAAACGAAGACUCUUGAUGAGUAAUUUAUAGCUGUUGAAUGAUCUAUUUUUAUAUACUUUGAGCUUUAAUUAUUUGUUAUGUAUUUAUCUAUGGACAUGUACAUACUCGAAUGCAAUAUAUACAUACAUGAGUAAAUUUUUAAUUUUCACAAUGCGAAAUCAAAUUAUCCACUAUGUAAUUUUUUAAAAUUUGUUCAUUGAUUCCUUUCAUAAUGGUCUAAAUUAAUGCCAGAAAUUUAACUAUUUGAUGUAGGUUCUUGAGAAGCAGCCAUAAAAAAAGUUCAGCAGGUGUUCGAUGUGUAAAAAAUGCAAAAAUAGUAAAAUAAACUAUGUAUAGCGAAAACGUAAAUAAACGUCAAGGUUGAGGCUGCGAGAAGAGCAGGCGGCUUGCGAAAAGAGAGGGGACACUCUCUCUUCUAUGCAUCGUUGAAGGAGAACCAGACCCCUGAACGGUACUAUACAUUCAGGUUUACUUUCUCUCAGAUCGCAACUUCUCAUCAUAUUGCUUUCUACUCACGUUGUGAAACGUUGUCCAACGUAUCUGAAAACAUUGAAAAUCAGUUGGAAAAUCGCACACCAAAAUUAUAAUAUCUUCAAGUCACCAAAGUUAAUAAGUAUUGCUAUACUAACUAAUAGCCGAAAAUUUACUACAUCUCUUGUGCUUAUAUACACCGUAAAUAGUAUCGGAUAUAUCGUAUGAAACUGUAUAAGGAGAAGACGGAUCAUCUGGAGUUUCAUUUUGCCACCAAAGCUUCGAUAGAGUGGCGCAAAGUAUUUUCUAAAGUUCUUUCAAGUAGUGCUAUUUAUUUUAAAAAUACAAAAAUGAAAUUACAACAACAAGCUAUAACCGCUGGAGCAUACGGUUUUGCGUUUAUCCUUUCUGUACUUUUGCUAAAAUAUGCAUUAUACGAGAAGAAAUUUGCUAUUGCAGCUAACCUAUUAUUGGUUGUAAGUGUAGCUUGCUUCCGUUUAUUCUUGUUAAAAGAUCAAAGUACCCGGCUUCAGGAAGGCAUCGUCCUUAUUUUGUUUAUAUUAUUUGAUAGAAAUCUUCUCAAUUUUGGCAAUCUUUUGCUUCUUCUUGGCGUUGCGUGCGUACGCGAGCAAUUUCACCGGGAAUCGCCUGCCGACAAGGAUGUACUGUACAAGGAGACCGUAUCUCUAACAUGUGGAUUAAUUUUUGCUCUCAUGGACUGGUACAGCGUUGGCAGAAUUCUCAUAAUUCAUGCGCUCAUCGUGUUUUACUACCAUACGAUUCUAAUGACUUUCUCCGUGUUUCUUGUUGUUAUCAAUUGGUUUUUCAACUUCUACGAAUUUAUGAUGGGUAAUCAGAAACAGGAACCUUAUCAAACAAAGACGAAUUGAUAUUAUUACUACUAUGUAGCUGUUGAAUGAUACAUCAAGAGGCGCGGUAGCGCUCUGAUGUCAAGUAUAACUAUAUAAUUGCAAUAUACCUACUUUGCUUCCGGGGAGAAUUUUUAUACAUACGAUUUCAUCUGUUACAAUUUCUUCGUUACAUUUGUUUGAAAACAGCAUAUUCUAUAGUUAUGCAAAUACAUAUUGUUAUAAAUAUAUUCAUGUAAGCCGAAUAUCAUAUUAUUUUCGAAUUUUCCAAGUUGAAUUGGAAAUUGAAUAUUGAAUUGGAGUGUAUAUGUAUGUACGUAUAUGUUUGUUAUAUACUUCACGUGCUUCAAUACCACUUCUUCAAUUGUUAUAAAAAUAAAUAAAUAUUUUUUAUUAUUUUUUUAAAGAGUAUAUUUUCAUUUAUAUUCCAUAAAGUAAUUACGAAAAUAUGAAUAUUGAAAGUGUUCACAUAGAAAAAUUCUACAAAUAUUCUUUUAAUAUUGAACCGACAACUAACGCACAAACAGUAAAAAUUAACGUUCAGACAACAAAAGAUGACUCGAGUACUACGAACGAUUCUGAAGAAAAAUAUUCCGACUCUGUUGAAGAUCAGGCUGCUAUAAAUUGCCAAGAUGAUCAAGAAAAUGGCUUAUGCUACGUUGAAAAUAUGAUGAUUGGGUGGAGCAAAUUUUCAAAAUUACGAAACUGGUGUUAUCACAUACGAUACAUCAACAAUCUGAGGAGCAGUUCAAUGAAUUAUUGUGCUUACGAAGUAAAGUGGACUAAACCAAUGGAAGGUUUCACUUACCCGAUAAUUACAGCGAGCGUUUAUUUUUUCAUUAAAAUAAACAAAACCGCAGAAAAAUCAUCAGUUACUACAGUUGAUAUAAAAUACGUGUUUGAAGGCAACCGAUUUAUGCACGAUGCCAGUACACAGUUUAACCCUACGUGGCUGUAUAACGCCUACGAAAACAAAAGAUGCGCAGUUGAAUCGCAUCAAUUUUUAUAAACUACGCUAAAUUUCACAACAAUUAAUGCACUAUUCUAAAACAUGACUUGAAAAUGUAAGAUAAAGUAUGUAUGUUUUGCCUGCUUAGCGAUAUCUCGAAAACUUGUAAAAAAUUUAUGACGAAAAUUAUUUAUCAAUCAUGGAUACCAUGUCUGUACACCGCAUUAAUUGUUAUAUACUAAGUAAUUGUUAUAAACCAUCAUCACAAGUUAUAAAAAUUAUCUUGCUGAUAGUUUCGAUUUCGACCGCCUUGUGGAAGUUUUUUGUUCGUGCGUAUUAUGUGGCGCUACUUGUAGCUUAUUCAAUGCGAAUAGGAUGCGAUCCAUUCUCCAAGUAGCUCCUCUCGUGUGUGGCUGCGCCUUGUAUUAACGCUUGACACAUAAGUAGUUAAAAAUAAUGGCGGAGAAUCGUGACAAUUACGUGUUCAAUUUAAUUCGUCUAAUUCAAUUCCAUAUAGUCAGAAAUUUAAAGUACUAUCUUUGGGGACUUUAUCACUUUCUUUAUAGACCAAGGAAGCAGUUAAGUCAUCGUCCAAACACGAGUCAGGAUAAAUAUUGGAAUAAUGUGGUGUACAACUUGGCUGUUGGAUCAUUCGUGGAUUUUAUAGUUAUAUAUGCUAUACACUUACCAGAAUUUCUUGCAAGAAAUUCUUGGAAAUUUAUCUUUCAACUAUGUAUCAUGGCCGCUUGUAUUUAUUUACGCAAGUCAAUUCAAGCAUUUAAAAACGAUUGGCUAACAGUAGCUUCUUCAGGUUUAGCGCUAUUUUUACUGCACCUCAAUGAUCAUGAUCUGACCAUAGUGAUUUACAUUGCCCUUCUGACUGGAAGUCAAAAGUUGUAUUACACUAAGAGCAAUACAUGGUUUAUCAGAGAGGUCAUAUAUGCGGCGGUUCUACUCGCUAUCGUAGGCGCUGUAUAUGUAGCGAAUUUAUAUGAUAUUAGUGUGGUUAUCGUGUUAUACGCUAUUUGUACAUCGAUAUUCACUCCAUACAUCGUUGCUUUGGGUGCUUUGCAAUUAUUGCUGUUUACUUAUGUGCUAGGGCAUAAUAUAGAAGAAAAAACUAGUGACUUAUUGGAUGAAAAGUCAAACAAUAUGGCAUUUGUUCACAAUGACGACAGAGUAGAUGCUAUCGAAGCAUCAUAAUGAAAGAUAUACUAUUUUAAUAAAAUGAUAUUUUUAAA